rnacentral:tRNA from 1 species
GGCUCCAUAGCUCGGUUGGUUAGAGCGCCAGUGUAGUAAACUGGAGCUCGCGAGUUCGACUCUAGAGCCU